rnacentral:lncRNA from 1 species
AAGUAUGAGGUGGGACUGCAGGAAUAUGAGCUCCUCUCCACAUGCAGGGACCCCAGGUGCUUAUCCAGCCUGUUCGAGAUCAUAGCCACCAAGGGGGAACUCUCUGGACAACCUGGCAGAAGUUCCCCUCACUCAGCUGAAACCUGCCUCCACCUGAGGCCACAGAGCAAGUCUCCCUGGGCUUCUGGGUCUUCAGACAUUUGGAGACAGUUAUUAUCUCUCCCUGCCCUCAGAUUUACCAUGUCCAGGCUAAAUGGAUGAUUUCUCACUUAUAAAUGUAAGGCAUUUAAUAAUUACAUUUCUUGAUAAUAAAAUAAGGAAAAAUUUAGGGUUUUUAAAC